rnacentral:rRNA from 1 species
GUGUCAGCCGCCGCGGUAAUACGUAGGUCCCGAACGUUGCGCGAAUUUACUGGGCGUAAAGGGUCCGUAGGCGGUCUGGUAAGUGGAAGGUGAAAUCCUGGGGCUCAACUCCAGAAUUGCCUUCCAAACUGCCGGACUUGAGGCAGGGAGAGGUCGGCGGAAUUCCCGGUGUAGCGGUGAAAUGCGUAGAUAUCAGGAGGAAGGCCUGUGGCGAAGGCGGCCCUCUGGCGCUCAACUGACGCUGAGGCGCGAAAGCGUGGGUAGCAAACAGGAUUAGAUACCCUGGUAGUCCACUCCCUAAACGGUGGGCACUAGGUGUGGGGCUCGAGAGGGUUCCGUGCCGAAGGGAAACCAAUAAGUGCCCCGCCUGGGGAGUACGGCCGCAAGGUUGAAACUUAAAGGAAUUGGCGGGG